CAGGAAAUCACUGGCCUUCUCCAACUCCACUGACAGGGUAGUAGUGAUGCAGCUCAUCUGAACAGCUACAUGGUACAGAACAGCGGGAUGAAACUCAGAAGCAUAAAUUACUUGGGACUGCCACAACCAAUUGUAUUACAAAUUAAUGCAUGGAAAGACAUCAGAUCAAUUACUGCUCUACGUGGCUGCCUUUGCAAAUCAGCUCAUUGAAAUGGAAUCUCUGUCACAAGUUCAUACACUUUCCAUGUAGCAUGAAAGGACUUAGAUACUUUAAACUUACUAAAUGCAAAUUGCCUGUGCCAAGAUUAUGCAUUUUUCUUAUGAGGGUGAAAAUAUUUUCCCCACUUAUAACUUUGACAUGCAAAUAUGUACUUGCUAAAACCUUGUUCUUAUGCAAACAAGGCAGGUGGGAAAUAUUUUUACAUGUCAAGAAUAUGUUCCAACUUGGUUUCUCACAUUCCCUGAGUUACUGAGAGCUUCCUGCCUAGUUCAAAUUAAUUGU
rnacentral:lncRNA from 1 species